UCAAGAAACCCUCAAGCUGUAAAGGAAUUUUUUGUAGUUAUUUCUUGCGUGUGUAUUUAGAGUAAGAGUUGAAUUUGGAACUACUGGGACGAGGGAGGUUGUUGGACGAUACGCCUCUGUGGCCUGUCCUCAACAAAAUCGAGGUCUCAAUUGAAUGUCUGGAUGUGCACCCCUUUGACUGGGUAUCUAUCUAGUAUCAGGGAGAACUGUUUUGUAUAAGAAGCCUUGUUUACUUGUGAUCGGCAAAUAAGCGCUGCACUUGUAGCGGUGUUAUGUUUUUAUCCUUGUUACCAAUCUCUUGCAUACUUGUGGAUGCUGUUUGACGCGCAGUGCAUUACUCUCGCACGCAGCCGAAUACAGAAAAUUCAGCCGAAGUUUCACCACCAAGGGCAAAUUGGAAGAAGGUGGAGAUGCAGGCAGAGUGGAUCCAACUGCGAUCAAAGACUGCUAAUCGACAAGAACGAGGUCUGAGCGACGAAUCUGGCGCUGUGAGAAACCCACGGCAGCGAUAUUAAUGGGGAAAAGCUGCUGCUUUACCGCACAACGCCUGUUCAAUCAGCAAUGGGUCCCGAGGCUAGCCGACGGGGGCUAGACAGCCCGUGGGCGGAUCCAGGAUUCUGGCGAGCCCUUGGUGACGAGAGGCGGCGACCCAUGUGUCGGUGAGGCAGCCCGGUCCAGUCGGCAAGAUUGCGCAUCCGCAUCGACAAUGGCUUCUUGCAUCCCUCACACAGUCAACGUCACCCUGAUUUCCCACACACUCAUUGCAUCUAUUCAUCGCUGCAUCUCUCAUGGCAUAGCCACAGCGCUGACCCACUCAUCAUCUACCUUGUUCCAUCCUUCUCCAGCCUCCUUCCGUAACGGCAUGUCCACUCUCCUAUUGUUGUUGUUGCUGUUGCAUUCUGUGUUUUCUUGCCCAACUCCUUCCUCUCCGUCCAUUCCAUAGUGCCCAAUUUUGUUUCUACCCUUUCUCGGUUUUUCUGUUGGAGUGUUCGAGUGGGCUCUGGAAGAGAGUGGGUGGGGAGUAAGGCAACUGGUAGUCCGAAUGGAGGAGUUGGCGAGGUUGUGUGUUGUUUUUUCCACUAGUAUAGGGGUUUGCAUUCUAAUUCUCGUUCAGGGUUUAAGAUUCUCAGUUGUGGGUGAGAUUCAUGUUUGUGGUGAGAAGGGAUAUUUUUUUCCACGCCUUGAUGACCAGGUUGAUUUUGAGGUUUCGGGAGGGUUCAGGGUUUAUGGGUCGGGGUUUUCAACCUUGUGAAAUGUUUUCGUCACCCGCAACACUGCUUUCAAGUCUUUGCAGGUUCCCGUGAAAAUUGAGUUCUGACCAUGUUGUCUCCAUUGCAUGGUUUAGUUUUCGAAUCUAUAAACGAGAAAAGGAAGAAAGCGCGAAUGCGGCCGAAGAAUUUUGAAGAAAUGGCAGAUGUAGACAAUGAGGAAAUUCAUGCGGAUGAGGUGAGAGACGUGAUUAAAGCUGAGCAUGAAGAGUGUGAAGUUGGAAAACCGAAAAAGAAGAAGAAGCUAGAUUGGCAGCCGCAGGUUGUGCCACAACUGAGCGGUGAGAAUGAAGAUGAGAGAGCACAGGGGGAAAUGGAUGGAGAGGUCCCAGAGCAAGCUUAGGCUGACCAAAUGAAUAGCAAGGACCAGGCUAACGUCCCGAGGGAUGGAAUGAGCGGCAAGGAAGGCAAGAAGACUAGCUUCACUAUUGAGAAUUUAGGAGGAAUUGCUCAGGUUGAAGGGAUUCUGAGUACCACCGCAUUCGAGUCAUUGCCGGUUUCAGAGCCCCCAAGAAUAUCCUGAAAGACACCAGGUUUACUCACCAGACUGAGGGCGCAAAAGUGCCAUUGAACGAGUACGAGUUUCCAUUGAACAAGAUAGCGAAUGUGCAGUCACAACUGGAAAAGCUGGUGGAGAAGAACUACUACCUGCAUCAGUCGGCUCGUGAUGCAUACCGGUCUUACUUGCUGGAUUACAACUCGCAUGCUAUGAAAGACAUAUUCAACGUGCAUCGGCUGGAUCUACAGGUACGGAAUAUGGGGAUGCGGAGUGGUGUUAGAUGUCCGGUGGGAAGUGAUAGUGUACAAGAUGCAAGGCAGUGUAAUGAGGGGUGCAGAGGAGCAGCAGUGUGAAGGUAGGAGUGUGCAGGUGGGAAGAGGUGUGGACGAUGAGUGGAUGGAGGAUAUGAAAGCAGGAAAGGUGUAGAAGACGUGGGUGUUGUUGACAGAGUGGAGUGAAGUGUUAAUGCGGAUUUUUUAAUAUGAGAGAUAUGGUUUUUGAUUCA